rnacentral:piRNA from 1 species
UGGGGUGCUGCACGAUCAACAAGCUG